rnacentral:lncRNA from 1 species
GCAAGACUGUUGGAGAGAGUUUCGAUGAUAUAGCUCAUUUAUUUGAGCAUUCUAAAGUUGUUGAAGAGGCUGGUAGAGAUGCUCUUACUAUUGCAUUUUUUUUUUUUUCAAUGUUUCAUUUCUUAGCAACCCUCUUGUUCGAUUGAGUUUGACUCUUCAGUUGUUGGACUUCAAUCUUGAAACCUAGGGCCUCCAAUUAUAUUUGUCACCCUCCAACAUUGAGACACGUGAUACGAGGGUUAUACUCCUAAGAUUCCCAAAAUACGCUAAGCCUUU